UAGUUGCUGAUAUAUUCGCCUAAGACUCAGGUGGCUUCUACGCCUUAAUAUCCUGCCGAGGAAAGUAAGUUUACUUUUUUCCUAUGUCUGGGUGGGCAUAGGGAUUUUUUAUUAAGUCC
rfam:Lactobacillus buchneri CD034, complete genome.